rnacentral:rRNA from 1 species
AGGAAAUGGCUAAUAAGUGACGGUACCGUUACCAGAAACGGGACGGCUAACUACGUGCCAGCAGCCGCGGUAAUACGUAGGUCCCGAGCGUUAUCCGGAAUUAUUGGGCGUAAAGGGCACGUAGGCGGACAAAUAAGUUUGAUGUCAAAUAUGAUGGCUCAACCAUCAAGAGGCGUUGAAAACUGUUUAUCUAGAAUCUCGGAGAGGUAAGUGGAAUUCCAUGUGUAGCGGUGGAAUGCGUAGAUAUAUGGAGGAACACCAAUGGCGAAGGCAGCUUACUGGACGAAGAUUGACGCUGAGGUGCGAAAGCGUGGGUAGCAAACAGGAUUAGAUACCCUGGUAG